GACGAACGCUGGCGGCGUGCUUAACACAUGCAAGUCGAACGGAAAGGCCCUGCUUUUGUGGGGUGCUCGAGUGGCGAACGGGUGAGUAACACGUGAGUAACCUGCCCUUGACUUUGGGAUAACUUCAGGAAACUGGGGCUAAUACCGGAUAGGAGCUCCUGCUGCAUGGUGGGGGUUGGGAAAGUUUCGGCGGUUGGGGAUGGACUCGCGGCUUAUCAGCUUGUUGGUGGGGUAGUGGCUUACCAAGGCUUUGACGGGUAGCCGGCCUGAGAGGGUGACCGGCCACAUUGGGACUGAGAUACGGCCCAGACUCCUACGGGAGGCAGCAGUGGGGAAUAUUGCACAAUGGGCGGAAGCCUGAUGCAGCAACGCCGCGUGCGGGAUGACGGCCUUCGGGUUGUAAACCGCUUUCGCCUGUGACGAAGCGUGAGUGACGGUAAUGGGUAAAGAAGCACCGGCUAACUACGUA
rnacentral:rRNA from 1 species